rnacentral:rRNA from 1 species
GACGAACGCUGGCGGCGUGCUUAACACAUGCAAGUCGAACGGGGCGAAGUGAUAGCUUGCUAUUAUGGAGCCUAGUGGCAAACGGGUGAGUAACGCGUAGGCAACCUGCCCUUCAGAUGGGGACAACACCUCGAAAGGGGUGCUAAUACCGAAUGACGUUUCCUGGUCGCAUGACCUGGAAACCAAAGGCCGGGCAACCGGUCACUGAAGGAUGGGCCUGCGUCUGAUUAGCUAGUUGUGGGGUAACGGCCCACCAAGGCGACGAUCAGUAGCCGGUCUGAGAGGAUGAACGGCACAUUGGGACUGAGACACGGGCCCAAACUCCUACGGAGGCAGCAGUGGGGAAUC